GCCGGAGUGGCGAAAUCGGUUUACGCAGCUGACUUAAGAUCAGCCUGGGCGCAAGCCCUAUGAGGGUUCGAGUCCCUCCUCCGGCA
rnacentral:tRNA from 3 species